GGGUUGUGAGGUUAAGCGACUAAGCGUACACGGUGGAUGCCCUGGCAGUCAGAGGCGAUGAAGGACGUGCUAAUCUGCGAUAAGCGUCGGUAAGGUGAUAUGAACCGUUAUAACCGGCGAUUUCCGAAUGGGGAAACCCAGUGUGAUUCGUCACACUAUCAUUAACUGAAUCCAUAGGUUAAUGAGGCGAACCGGGGGAACUGAAACAUCUAAGUACCCCGAGGAAAAGAAAUCAACCGAGAUUCCCCCAGUAGCGGCGAGCGAACGGGGAGCAGCCCAGAGUCUGAAUCAGUGUGUGUGUUAGUGGAAGCGUCUGGAAAGGCGCGCGAUACAGGGUGACAGCCCCGUACACAAAAAUGCACAUAUUGUGAGCUCGAUGAGUAGGGCGGGACACGUGGUAUCCUGUCUGAAUAUGGGGGGACCAUCCUCCAAGGCUAAAUACUCCUGACUGACCGAUAGUGAACCAGUACCGUGAGGGAAAGGCGAAAAGAACCCCGGCGAGGGGAGUGAAAAAGAACCUGAAACCGUGUACGUACAAGCAGUGGGAGCCUCUUUUAUGGGGUGACUGCGUACCUUUUGUAUAAUGGGUCAGCGACUUAUAUUCUGUAGCAAGGUUAACCGAAUAGGGGAGCCGAAGGGAAACCGAGUCUUAACUGGGCGUUAAGUUGCAGGGUAUAGACCCGAAACCCGGUGAUCUAGCCAUGGGCAGGUUGAAGGUUGGGUAACACUAACUGGAGGACCGAACCGACUAAUGUUGAAAAAUUAGCGGAUGACUUGUGGCUGGGGGUGAAAGGCCAAUCAAACCGGGAGAUAGCUGGUUCUCCCCGAAAGCUAUUUAGGUAGCGCCUCGUGAAUUCAUCUCCGGGGGUAGAGCACUGUUUCGGCAAGGGGGUCAUCCCGACUUACCAACCCGAUGCAAACUGCGAAUACCGGAGAAUGUUAUCACGGGAGACACACGGCGGGUGCUAACGUCCGUCGUGAAGAGGGAAACAACCCAGACCGCCAGCUAAGGUCCCAAAGUCAUGGUUAAGUGGGAAACGAUGUGGGAAGGCCCAGACAGCCAGGAUGUUGGCUUAGAAGCAGCCAUCAUUUAAAGAAAGCGUAAUAGCUCACUGGUCGAGUCGGCCUGCGCGGAAGAUGUAACGGGGCUAAACCAUGCACCGAAGCUGCGGCAGCGACGCUUAUGCGUUGUUGGGUAGGGGAGCGUUCUGUAAGCCUGUGAAGGUGUGCUGUGAGGCAUGCUGGAGGUAUCAGAAGUGCGAAUGCUGACAUAAGUAACGAUAAAGCGGGUGAAAAGCCCGCUCGCCGGAAGACCAAGGGUUCCUGUCCAACGUUAAUCGGGGCAGGGUGAGUCGACCCCUAAGGCGAGGCCGAAAGGCGUAGUCGAUGGGAAACAGGUUAAUAUUCCUGUACUUGGUGUUACUGCGAAGGGGGGACGGAGAAGGCUAUGUUGGCCGGGCGACGGUUGUCCCGGUUUAAGCGUGUAGGCUGGUUUUCCAGGCAAAUCCGGAAAAUCAAGGCUGAGGCGUGAUGACGAGGCACUACGGUGCUGAAGCAACAAAUGCCCUGCUUCCAGGAAAAGCCUCUAAGCAUCAGGUAACAUCAAAUCGUACCCCAAACCGACACAGGUGGUCAGGUAGAGAAUACCAAGGCGCUUGAGAGAACUCGGGUGAAGGAACUAGGCAAAAUGGUGCCGUAACUUCGGGAGAAGGCACGCUGAUAUGUAGGUGAAGUCCCUUGCGGAUGGAGCUGAAAUCAGUCGAAGAUACCAGCUGGCUGCAACUGUUUAUUAAAAACACAGCACUGUGCAAACACGAAAGUGGACGUAUACGGUGUGACGCCUGCCCGGUGCCGGAAGGUUAAUUGAUGGGGUCAGCGCAAGCGAAGCUCUUGAUCGAAGCCCCGGUAAACGGCGGCCGUAACUAUAACGGUCCUAAGGUAGCGAAAUUCCUUGUCGGGUAAGUUCCGACCUGCACGAAUGGCGUAAUGAUGGCCAGGCUGUCUCCACCCGAGACUCAGUGAAAUUGAACUCGCUGUGAAGAUGCAGUGUACCCGCGGCAAGACGGAAAGACCCCGUGAACCUUUACUAUAGCUUGACACUGAACAUUGAGCCUUGAUGUGUAGGAUAGGUGGGAGGCUUAGAAGUGUGGACGCCAGUCUGCAUGGAGCCGACCUUGAAAUACCACCCUUUAAUGUUUGAUGUUCUAACGUUGACCCGUAAUCCGGGUUGCGGACAGUGUCUGGUGGGUAGUUUGACUGGGGCGGUCUCCUCCUAAAGAGUAACGGAGGAGCACGAAGGUUGGCUAAUCCUGGUCGGACAUCAGGAGGUUAGUGCAAUGGCAUAAGCCAGCUUGACUGCGAGCGUGACGGCGCGAGCAGGUGCGAAAGCAGGUCAUAGUGAUCCGGUGGUUCUGAAUGGAAGGGCCAUCGCUCAACGGAUAAAAGGUACUCCGGGGAUAACAGGCUGAUACCGCCCAAGAGUUCAUAUCGACGGCGGUGUUUGGCACCUCGAUGUCGGCUCAUCACAUCCUGGGGCUGAAGUAGGUCCCAAGGGUAUGGCUGUUCGCCAUUUAAAGUGGUACGCGAGCUGGGUUUAGAACGUCGUGAGACAGUUCGGUCCCUAUCUGCCGUGGGCGCUGGAGAACUGAGGGGGGCUGCUCCUAGUACGAGAGGACCGGAGUGGACGCAUCACUGGUGUUCGGGUUGUCAUGCCAAUGGCACUGCCCGGUAGCUAAAUGCGGAAGAGAUAAGUGCUGAAAGCAUCUAAGCACGAAACUUGCCCCGAGAUGAGUUCUCCCUGACUCCUUGAGAGUCCUGAAGGAACGUUGAAGACGACGACGUUGAUAGGCCGGGUGUGUAAGCGCAGCGAUGCGUUGAGCUAACCGGUACUAAUGAACCGUGAGGCUUAACCUUACAACGCCGAAG
rnacentral:rRNA from 1 species